AAUGUCGUAACAAGGUUUCCGUAGGUGAACCUGCGGAAGGAUCAUUACUGAGAGAGGGGGCCUUCGCGCUCCCGGGGGUUCUCGGCCCCAAAGCUCUUCACCCAUUGUUAUCUACCUCUGUUGCUUUGGGCGGGCCUUGGGGCUUCGCCCUGCGCCGGCUUUCGGGACUAGUGAGCGCUCGUCAGUGGCCCAAUUAAAUUCCGUCUAUCCGGUAUUAUCAGAUCGAAAGCCACAACUAACAAAAAG
rnacentral:misc_RNA from 1 species